CGAGUGAGAGAGAUCUUCGUUCUCUUUCUAGGGUUUUCCCCUGGGAUUUUCACACCUCAAUCGUCCCUCCUUUUUUCUGCACAGAAAACCCUAGCUUCGGCUCCUCUUCCUAUACUGAGAUUCUCCAACGCCGCCGCCUGGCGCAGUUUCCGCUGAAGCAGCUAAAGCAAAACCCUUCCAUGGCAGCGAAAUCCGUUGCUCCGACUGCAAGAGACCUCCUGCCGGAGGUCUUUGGGAUGGAGACUCUGCCGGAAAAGCCCCGGGGUCGGGUUCUCCCAUCCAGAUGUUCAGCAAAUGGCGAUGCUGGAGCUCGGACCCUCUCGAGCAUAAUGCAAAAACUAUCCAAGGGAGACAAACUUGAAAGCUCGCAUGAUCGGUAUGAAUUUUCAUUUCUUUAGUCGGUGAUAGGGUUUCUGCUUUGAGAUGAUUGUAGAUUUAGUGUUUCUGAAGGUUUGUGAUUGUUUAUGGGGGUUCAUACAUGCUGUUGAAUUCGAAUUUGAUUGCGGAUUACAAAAAUAGGAAUUCAUUUUAAAUCUAGAUUGUUAAUAUUGUUAGUUUGUUCACGUCAAUUUGAUAGCACCGAUUUGGGAUACGUCUGUUCUCACUGAAAACAUGGAGGGCAAAAUCGACUGGCCUCUAGAACGGUCCAAGGCCUAUUUCUUAUUAUAAAAUAAAUAGGCCAAUAUAGCGUGAGCUCUGUUCAGUCCAAAUCAGAUAGUUAGGUUUUUUUUAAUAACUGUUUUCUUAGAGAUCCUCUGCUUGGAGUGAAUUUGGAGAAAAAUGUGGCUUUAAAGCAGGAUGCAGCCCACGGUGUAAUGCUUGCACAUAAUUCUAUGUCCAAAAGGGCAUUGGCAAUCUAAUUGAUGAGGACUCAAUUGAGGAAUAUGAAAAGGUGGCAAAGGAAAAGAGCAAGGAGAAAUUGGAGCAACAGGAAGGAGUGGAGUUAAAUUUUCUCAGCAAACUUGGUCAUGUCCAAAAGAUUGAGAUUCUGAAUGGCAUUGCUGACAUGAAGAAUGAGCUCAGGUCCUUCAUGAACAAAGGUAUAUUUCAGCAGUGGGUGAUCCAGGCAUGAGAAGAGAUGGAUUGAGAGUGGCAUUUGAAGGCUGGAAUUUUUGCAAUGAAGUUGGCAAUGAAAUU